CCUGGAUCUGCAGCGCACCUCACUGUAGGGAUUCCACCCGUGUUCACACACGUCCUUCCACCAGCAAAGCCUCAGUGUCACAUCAAGAGGCACAGACUCCCUGCUGUGCAGACCUCUUGUUAUCAAGAGAUUGUUGAAAAAACACAGCGCAGUUGCAAGGACUUAUCCCUGGAUGUAAAUAUGUUUCAAAUUAAAGCAGAACUAGAAAUGACUGCAACAUAAAGAAAGCUCUGCUGACUGGAAAAUCUGGUAAACUCAUGUCUUUUCCAGAUAUAUCUAUCGCAUCGUAUUUUUAAAUGACCGGUUUUGUGUUUUUCAGCUGCACAGUCUCCAGUUUGUGUUCCCGGCUCGGGCAGGUACUGUACGCGAACACGGACGCCAACACCCGAGGGCACGGAGAGAAGCGCUGCUGCCGCGUUCCUGCGGCUCCGAGGCCGCAUCACCGGCACCGAUCCCGAGCUUCAUCGGUGGGGAGGUUUUCCAUUCCUCCUCCGCAGCAAACGGAACCAGCCCAGAGCAGACAGCGGGCGGCGGCGGCGGGGGUGGGAGAGAAGAUCAGUAAUAACAACAACCGACAACGAAAGGAAACAAAAGGGGGAGAAGGGAGAGAGAAGGAAAAAAAAAACAACGUUACAACUGUCACCGUUUUGCAAGCGUCAGAUUAGCGCUUUGUCAUAACGUGACCACACUGUUUCCGAUAGGUUUUCCAACCCGUAAUCGUUUGUAACGUCUCAGCUAUGAAUCGGGAAAGCAAAAUAAAAAGC
rnacentral:lncRNA from 1 species